rnacentral:rRNA from 1 species
CAGUCGCCGCGGGAAUACAGAGGGUGCGAGCGUUAAUCGGAUUUACUGGGCGUAAAGCGUGCGUAGGCGGCUUUUUAAGUCGGAUGUGAAAUCCCUGAGCUUAACUUAGGAAUUGCAUUCGAUACUGGGAAGCUAGAGUAUGGGAGAGGAUGGUAGAAUUCCAGGUGUAGCGGUGAAAUGCGUAGAGAUCUGGAGGAAUGCCGAUGGCGAAGGCAGCCAUCUGGCCUAAUACUGACGCUGAGGUACGAAAGCAUGGGGAGCAAACAGGAUUAGAUCCCGAGUAGUCCCUGUCUCUUAUACA